CUAAAUACUCCUGAGAGACCGAUAGUGAACAAGUACCGUGAGGGAAAGGUGAAAAGCACCCCGACAAGGGGAGUGAAAUAGUACCUGAAACCGGAUGCCUACAAGCAGUCGGAGGGCGUAAGCCUGACGGCGUACCUUUUGUAUAAUGGGUCAACGACUUAGUGCAGCAAGCAAGCUUAAGCCGAUAGGUGUAGGCGCAGCGAAA
rnacentral:rRNA from 1 species